GCUCAAAUUGAACGCGGGCGGCAUGCCUUACACAUGCAAGUGGAACGGCAGCACGGGAGCUUGCUCUUGGUGGCGAGUGGCGAACGGGUGAGUAAUAUAUCGGAACGUGCCCUAGAGUGGGGGAUAACUAGUCGAAAGAUUAGCUAAUACCGCAUACGAUCUAAGGAUGAAAGUGGGGGAUCGCAAGACCUCAUGCUCGUGGAGCGGCCGAUAUCUGAUUAGCUAGUUGGUGAGGUAAAGGCUCACCAAGGCGACGAUCAGUAGCUGGUCUGAGAGGACGACCAGCCACACUGGAACUGAGACACGGUCCAGACUCCUACGGGAGGCAGCAGUGGGGAAUUUUGGACAAUGGGCGCAAGCCUGAUCCAGCAAUGCCGCGUGAGUGAAGAAGGCCUUCGGGUUGUAAAGCUAUUUUGUCAGGGAAGAAACGGUUCUGGUUAAUACCUGGGGCUAAUGACGAUGCCUGAAGAAUAAGCACGAGCUA
rnacentral:rRNA from 1 species